AGAGUUUGAUCAUGGCUCAGGAUGAACGCUGGCGGCGUGCUUAACACAUGCAAGUCGAACGAUGAUGCCAGCUUGCUGGUGGAUUAGUGGCGAACGGGUGAGUAACACGUGAGUAACCUGCCCUUGACUCUGGGAUAAGCCUGGGAAACUGGGUCUAAUACCGGAUAUGACCUUCCAUCGCAUGGUGGUUGGUGGAAAGCUUUUGUGGUUUUGGAUGGACUCGCGGCCUAUCAGCUUGUUGGUGGGGUAAUGGCCUACCAAGGCGACGACGGGUAGCCGGCCUGAGAGGGUGACCGGCCACACUGGGACUGAGACACGGCCCAGACUCCUACGGGAGGCAGCAGUGGGGAAUAUUGCACAAUGGGCGAAAGCCUGAUGCAGCGACGCCGCGUGAGGGAUGACGGCCUUCGGGUUGUAAACCUCUUUCAGUAGGGAAGAAGCGUAAGUGACGGUACCUGCAGAAGAAGCGCCGGCUAACUACGUGCCAGCAGCCGCGGUAAUAC
rnacentral:rRNA from 1 species